rnacentral:rRNA from 1 species
UGCCAGCAGCCGCGGUAAUACGGAGGGUCCAAGCGUUAUCCGGAUUUAUUGGGUUUAAAGGGUACGUAGGCGGAACUUUAAGUCAGUAGUGAAAGCCCAUCGCUUAACGAUGGAACUGCUAUUGAUACUGAUGUUCUUGAAUAUAGUUGAAGUAGGCGGAAUACGACAUGUAGCGGUGAAAUGCAUAGAUAUGUCGUGGAACACCAAUCGCGAAGGCAGCUUACUAAGCUAUUAUUGACGCUAAGGUACGAAAGCGUGGGGAGCGAACAGGAUUAGAUA